CUACGGGUUGCAGCAGUGAGGAAUAUUGCACAAUGGGGGGAACCCUGAUGCAGCAACGCCGCGUGGAGGAUGACGCAUUUCGGUGUGUAAACUCCUUUUAUAUGUCAAGAAAAUGACGGUAGCAUAUGAAUAAGCACCGGCUAACUCCGUGCCAGCAGCCGCGGUAAUACGGAGGGUGCAAGCGUUACUCGGAAUCACUGGGCGUAAAGGAUGCGUAGGCGGGUUGGAAAGUCAGGUGUGAAAUCCUACAGCUUAACUGUAGAACUGCACUUGAAACUUCUAAUCUAGAGUAUGGGAGGGGGAGAUGGAAUUAGUGGUGUAGGGGUAAAAUCCGUAAAUAUCACUAGGAAUACCUAAAGCGAAGGCGAUCUCCUGGAACAUUACUGACGCUAAGGCGUGAAAGCGUGGGGAGCAAACAGGAUUAGAUACCCGGGUAGUC
rnacentral:rRNA from 1 species